UACAGAGGGUGCGAGCGUUAAUCGGAAUACUGGGCGUAAAGCGCACGUAGUCGGCUUUGCAAGUCGGGUGUGAAACUCCCCGGGCUCAACCUGGGAACUGCAUCCGAGACUGCAUUGCUAGAGUAUGGGAGAGGGAAGCGGAAUUUCUGGUGUAGCAGUGAAAUGCGUAGAUAUCAGAAGGAACAUCAGUGGCGAAAGGCGGCUU
rnacentral:rRNA from 1 species